rnacentral:tRNA from 1 species
GCCGCUAUAGCUCAGUGGUAGAGCACUGGUCUCGUAAACCAGGGGUCGUGAGUUCAGUCCUCACUGGUGGCA